rnacentral:lncRNA from 1 species
UCAAGGUUAAAAGUUCAUGCAACAUAGUAGCUUUGUGAAAUCAUAACUACCCAAUAGCUAAUGUCACGAUUCACAAUAAAUCAUGUGUAAUCGUAUAAUGUGUAAUCGUAUACACUAGUGCACUCAGUAUGAGAAACUCAUCACAAGGUCUAAAACAAGUGAUCAUUCUAGUGAGGAAAUAAUGCACUGUAACCUUAAAUAGAUUGCCUAAACCCAUAAAUUGGUUGUGAAUAACUCAUCAAUUUAUAGGAC